GCGAGCGUAGCUCAGCGGUAGAGCCCCACGUUGCCAACGUGGUUGUCGAGGGUUCAAAUCCCUUCGCUCGCUCCA
rnacentral:tRNA from 1 species